AAUUUACCAUCAUCAUGUGCAGAAAUAUAAAGAAAAUAAGAAUAUAAUCAACAAUCACAGGCUAAGCAACCAUCAAUAGUAAUCUAGCAUAUGUGUAUUUGAAGCGUAACACAGCCCGCCCAUAAUACAACACUCUUCCAACUGAAAUGAAAAGGUCUAAAGCUCCAACAAUGACUGAAAAAAGUUCUGCUUAAUAUUAUGAACUUAUCACUAAUUUUGUAAGAAAUUACCUUUAAGUUUCUCGUCUUUCAGGGUCCAUCUUCCUCACAGUGUACUAGUGUAGUAGUUUUCUUGCUGUUCAGCUUCAGCAGCCUCACUGAAAUUUCUUUGCCUGUCCUUAGAACAUAGAAGGUAAGCUAUAUAGUGCCAUCGACUGUUAGCAGAAAUAGUCUUAGGAUUCGCCAAGAGGCACGGGAUAACUUGUAACUGUAGUCAUCUCCUAUGCUGAUAGUAAUUGCUUGCUAGUAUGAAGAGGACUUCAAAUAUCUAUUUUUGUUUCCUAGAGUAUAGGUUCAGUUACAAGAAUCAAUACAAAAGGCAAUUGCAUUGUAAGCCUUGUGAAAAUAAUACCAAUAAAUCCCUGCACAUCAUAAUUUGUAAAGUGAGCAACAGUAAAAGGUACUGCAUGAUCAAUUUUUGGGAUUUCACGAAGCACCCGCCAAUUCCAUUUAUUUAUUUCUAAAUGUUAUUUUUAACUUUGGGAUCAUCUAAGUUUAUUCUUUUAGGUAUCAAACUAUCAAUCAAGUUGUACACAAAAUAAGGAAGACUUCCAAUCCAUGUAAUAUGUAAAUGCACACAAAACACUAACCUCUAUGUCAAUUA
rnacentral:lncRNA from 1 species